UUUAGCUCACCUGACCUGAAAGGUCAAGUGAGCUUUUCUCAUCACUUUGCGUCCGUCGUCCGUAAACUUUUACAAAAAUCUUCUCCUCUGAAACUACUGGGUCAAAUUUAACCAAACUUGGUCACAAUCAUCAUUGGGGUAUCUAGUUUAAAAAAUGUGUCUGGUGAUCCGGUCAACCAACCAAGAUGGCCGCCAUGGCUAAAAAUAGAACGUAGGGGUAAAAUGUAGAUUUUGGCUUAUAUCUCUGAAACCAAAGCAUUUAGAGCAAAUCUGACAUGGGGUAAAAUUGUUUAUCAGGUCAAGAUCUAUCUGCCCUGAAAUUUUUGGAUGAAUCUGACAACCCGUUGUUGGGUUGCUGCCCCUGAAUUGGUAAUUUUAAGGAAAUUUUGCCGUUUUUAUACGACCGCAAAAAAAUUUUGUGGUCGUAUAUUGGUAUGACGUUGGCGUCGUCGGCGUCGUCGUCGUCGGCGUCGUCGUCCGGCGUCGUCGUCCGAAUACAUAUUGGUUUUUCGCACUCUAACUUUCGUUUAAGUGAAUGGAUCUUUUUGAAAUUUGACCAUAAGGUUAAAUACCACAAAAGGAAGGUUGGGAUUGAUUUUGGGGGUUAUGGUACCAACAGUUAAGGAAUUAGGGGCCAAAAAGGGGCCAAAAAUGAGCAUUUUCUAGUUUCCAGACAAUAACUGUGGAACGGUGUAUGGAUCUCUCUGAAAUUAUACUACAAGUUUCCAUACCACAAAGGGAUGGUUAGGAUUUGCUUUGGGGGGUUAUGGCUCAAACCGUUUAGGAAUUAGGGGCAAAAAAGGGGGAAAAACAAGGUUGUCCUGGUUAAUGGACAAAUACUUUAGUACAAAACAUAAUUUAAAGCAGUGUAAGGGAGAUAAAUCAAAUACAUCAUUGAAAUUAUCUCCCUUACACUGCUUUUAAAUUAUGUAUAAAGUAAUGGUUAAUGAACAAUAAAGAUAAUCUAAAACAGUGUAAGGGAGGUAAUCCAAAUACAACGUUUUGGUUACUUCCCUUACACUGCUUUUAAAUUAUGUUUAAAGAAAUGCAUAUUUAUAAAGGAAGACCAGUAAAAAUAUCUGCAAAUGUUUUCAUCUUUUUUUUUUACAAAAAAAUCCAUAUGAAAGAUUUGACACUAUAUUUUUAUUAAUUCUAUUAUAAAAUAGAUUAAGUUAGCACUAUGGUAAAUUUAAAUGGGUAAUUAUGGUUGCCAACUCCAUUGGAAAUUUGAAUUGAGAUUAUGACCAUAUCUUGAGGGAAAGAAUUUUUUUGGGGGAAAAAGGGGGGGGGGAUAAAAAGAAAUUGUGGGGGCCAAUUUUUUCUCAUUUCAGAUUUCAGAAAUUAAAAAGAAUUAUUCUUCAAAUAUUAUUUUUUUUUCAAAUUUCAAAUAUUGAAAAAUUUCAAGAAGUAAUCUUUAAUUGCACAGUAUGGCGCAUUAGAUUUGUAAAAUCUUUGAUCACAUUUAUUUAUUUGUUAUGCCGAAUCUAACAGUGUAUUUAGAUUUUUAAUUUUGGGUCCAGUUUUCAAAUUGGUCUACAUUAAUGUCCAAAGGGUCCAAAAUUAAACUUUGUUUGAUUUUAGCAAAAAUUGAAUAUAUGAGGUUCUUUGAUAUGCUGAAUCUAAACAUGUAUUUAGAUUUUUGAUUUUUGGCCCAGUUUUCAAGUUGGUCCAAAUUGGGGUCCAAAAUUAAACUUUGUUUGAUUUCAACAAAAAUUGAAUAUAUGGGGUUCUUUGAUAUGCUGAAUCUAACCAUGUAUUUAGAUUUUUUAUUUGUGGACCCCGUUAUCUAAUUGGUUCAUAUUGAGGUCAAAAGGGUCCAAAAUUAAACUUUGUUUGAUUUCAUCUAAAAUUGAAUUAUUGGGGUUCUUUGAUAUUCCAAAUCUAACAGUGUAUUUAGGUUUUUAAUUUUGGGUCCUGUUUUUUUAAAUUGGUCUACAUUGAGGUCCAAAGGGUCCAAAAUUAAACUUAGUUUGAUUUUGACAAAAAUUGAAUUCUUGGGGUUCUUUGAUUUGCUGAAUCUAAACAUGUGUUUAGAUUUUUGAUUAUGGGCCCAGUUUUCAAGUUGGUCCAAGUUAGGGUCCAGUAUUUAAACUUUGUUUGAUUUCAACAAAAAUUGAAUAUAUGGGGUUCUUUGAUAUGCUGAAUCUAAACAUGUAUUUAGAUUUUUGAUUAUGGGCCCAGUUUUCAAGUUGGUUCAAAUUGGGGUCCAAAAUUAAACUUUGUUUGAUUUCAACAAAAAUUGAAUAUAUGAGGUUCUUUGAUAUGCUGAAUCUAACCAUGUAUUUAGAUUUUUUAUUUGUAGGCCCCGCUAUCAAAUUGGUUCAUAUUGAGGUCAAAAGGGUCCAAAAUUAAACUUUGUUUGAUUUCAUCAAAAAUUGAAUUAUUGGGGUUCUUUGAUAUGCCAAAUCUAACCGUGUUUUUAGAUUUUUAAUUUGGGUCCCGUUUUUUAAAUUGGUCUUCAUUGAGGUCCAAAGGGUCCAAAAUUAAACUUAGUUUGAUUUUAACAAAAAUUGAAUUCUUGGGGUUCUUUGAUAUGCUGAAUCUAAACAUGUGUUUAGAUUUUUGAUUAUGGGCCCAGUUUUCAAGUUGGUCCAAGUUGGGGUCCAAAAUUAAACUUUUUUUGAUUUCAACAAAAAUUGAAUAUAUGGGGUUCUUUGAUAUGCUGAAUCUAACCAUGAAUUUAGAUUUUUUAUUUGUGGGCCCCGCUAUCAAAUUGGUUCAUAUUGAGGUCAAAAGGGUCCAAAAUUAAACUUUGUUUGAUUUCAUCAAAAAUUGAAUUAUUGGGGUUCUUUGAUAUUCCAAAUCUAACCGUGUAUUUAGAUUUUUAAUUUUAAGUACCGUUUUUUAAAUUGGUCUACAUUAAGGUCCAAAGGGUCCAAAAUUAAACUUAGUUUGAUUUUAGCAAAAAUUGAAUUCUUGGGGUUCUUUGAUAUGCUGAAUCUAAACAUGUGUUUAGAUUUUUGAUUAUGGGCCCAGUUUUCAAGUUUGUCCAAGUUGGGGUCCAAAAUUAAACUUUGUUUGAUUUUAACAAAAAUUGAAUAUAUGGGGUUCUUUGAUAUGCUGAAUCUAACCAUGUAUUUUGAUUUUGGACAUUGGACCAUAAUAGGUAAAUUAAAAAAAUUCAAGUUCUUAGACCACAUUCUUUCUGUGUCAGAAACCUAUGCUGUGUCAAAUAUUUAAUAACAAUCCAAAUUCAGAGCUGUAUCAAGCUUGAAUGUUGUGUCCAUACUUGCCCCAACUGUUCAGGGUUCGACCUCUGCGGUCGUAUCAAGCUGCGCCCCAGCGAAGCAUUUUAUUGGUUAUUAUCUUGAAUAUUAUUAUAGAUAGAGAUAAACUGUAAACAGCAAUAAUGUUCAGCAGAGUAAGAUCUACAAUUAAGUCAACUUGACCAAAAUGGUCAGUUGACCCCUUAAGGAGUUAUUGCCCUUUAUAAUCAAUUUUUAACCAUUUUUCGUAAAUUUUUGUAAUCUUUUACAAAAAUCUUCUCCUCUGAAACUUCUAAGACAAAUUUAACCAACCUUUUACACAAUCAUCAUUAGGGUAUAUAGUUUAAAAAAUGUGUCCGAUGACCCCGCCCACGAACUAAGAUGGCCAACAUGGCUUAAAAAUAGUACAUAGGGUAAAAUGCAGUUUUUGGCUCAUAUCUCUGAAACCAAAGCAUUUAGAGCAAAUCUGACAUGGGGUAAAAUUGUUUAUCAGGUCAAGAUCUAUCUGCCCUGAAAUUUUCAGACCAAUCAGGCAACACGUUGUUGGGUUGCUGCCCCUGAAUUGGUAAUUUUAAGAAAAUUUUGCAGCUUUUGGUUAUUAUCUUGAAUAUUAUUAUAGAUAGAGAUAAACUGUAAACAGCAAUAAUGUACAGCAAAGUAAGAUCUACAAAUAAGUCAACAUGACCAAAAUUGUCAAUUGACCCCUUAAGGAGUUAUUGCCCUUUAUAGUCAAUUUUUUACAAUUUUUUCAUAAAUUUUGUAAAUUUUUGUAAAUUUUUACAAAAUAUUUUCCACUAUAACUACUGGGCCAAGUUCAUUAUAGAUAGAGAUAAUUGUAAGCAGCAAGAAUGUUCAGUAAAGUAAGAUCUACAAACACAUCACCAUCACCAAAACACAAUUUUGUCAUGAAUCCAUCUUUGUCCUUUGUUUAAUAUGCACAUAUACCAAGGUGAGCGACACAGGCUCUUUAGAGCCUCUAGUCUUA